UUAUACACAGACCUGUGCAAAACAUCAGGCCAUGCCAUUAAUUCUUCAGGCGCUGCAGAAUUAGAAAAGUUGUUCUGCCUGUAGAGCAUGUUUUACAGAGAGGGAGGUAGUAAGGUAACUACAGCCAUGAGGUGUGCUAAGCAAAAUUAGGGUUUCAGCACUGUGAAUUUGUUUUAAGUCAAAAGCUGGCUUCAAGGGUGAAAAUAAAGGCAGGAAGAAACUAACCCCCCCCCAACACCUGAUUUCCUCAGCUCGUUCUUUACAGAUCUGUAAGGAAAUCACGGCCUUUAACAGGUGUGAGAGCUGUUGCCCCGCUACCAUUGAAGAAACUGGGUGAAAGCUAGAAGUUACUAAGCUCAGGACUGGCCACAGAACAGCCUCUUAAGUAGAUGGACAGGCUACUCAGCAACUAAGAGAAGAAAGCAACAACUCACCCUACCCCCCCAGCCUUGCGGGUGUGGAUUGACUUGCCCUCCAGUGAGACUCCCUGGUUUCUGCUUCUCAACACAUCGUCUUCCAGAGGAGAGUUGACACAGUUGACUCUGGUUUGCCAUUCAUCCACUGCAGAUUCCAACAUUAUUCUAUAGACUUAUGAUUUGAGUUCAACGUACAUACUAAGUUAGCUAAAGCUAUUGG
rnacentral:lncRNA from 1 species